ACUUACAUGUGAGUGCCAUAGCGAUCUAUUCUUUCGCCUUUUACUAAAGAAUACCGUGUGCUCGUCACAUAAAGCAGCAUAUGCCAAUUUUUUUAGGGUUAAAAAAAAUGUGAGU